rnacentral:rRNA from 1 species
UACAGAGGGUGCAAGCGUUAAUCGGAUUUACUGGGCGUAAAGCGUGAGUAGGUGGCUCGCUAAGUCGAUUGUGAAGGCCCUGGGCUCAACCUGGGAAUUGCAGUCGAUACUGGAGAGCUAGAGUUCGGUAGAGGGUGACGGAAUUCCCGGUGUAGCGGUGAAAUGCGUAGAUAUCGGGAGGAACAUCGAUGGCGAAGGCAAUCACCUGGGCCUGAACUGACACUGAGACACGAAAGCGUGGGUAGCAAACAGG